rnacentral:lncRNA from 1 species
GGAUCCUGCACAGAAUUUGCCAUAAAACUUCUUGGCGCCAAGACCUCUCAGGUCAUGUAUGGUGAAUGGCCACAAAUGCAGAACGUUAUUGCGGGAAAAGGCAUCCCUCUUUUCUAUGACCACCACCUUGGCUCCCAGGAAUGACAGGUCGAUGGCUGUACGAAGGCCACAGGGUCCAGCCCCAAUUAUCAGACACUUCGUGUUGGCGCAUGCUUUCCCCUUCUUAUAGUCCUUAUGGCUGCCCCUCUUAUCCAAUUUGGCCCACAAGGCUUUGGCUUUCCAGUAAUUUAGCUUGGACUUGAGUUUGUGAUAGAAAGAACGGUAGUCCUUGGGCUUUAGUUCUAGGUAGUCACAGAGCUCCUGGAAAGCCUUGAGAGUCCCCUUGCACGUUGAAGCCUGGACAAAUCUGUCGAAGAGAACGUGAGCCUGGUUCACCUUCUCGUUCUUACUCUCCUCCAUGCUUCACGCUCAGCAGCUGCCCUGCAGGGCAGCCGUUCUCUUCCAGUCUGCCAG